AUUGAACGCUGGCGGCAGGCCUAACACAUGCAAGUCGAGCGGAUGAAGGGAGCUUGCUCCUGGAUUCAGCGGCGGACGGGUGAGUAAUGCCUAGGAAUCUGCCUGGUAGUGGGGGAUAACGUCCGGAAACGGGCGCUAAUACCGCAUACGUCCUGAGGGAGAAAGUGGGGGAUCUUAGGACCUCACGCUAUCAGAUGAGCCUAGGUCGGAUUAGCUAGUUGGUGGGGUAAAGGCCUACCAAGGCGACGAUCCGUAACUGGUCUGAGAGGAUGAUCAGGCACACUGGAACUGAGACACGGCCCAGACUCCUACGGGAGGCAGCAGUGGGGAAUAUUGGACAAUGGGCGAAAGCCUGAUCCAGCCAUGCCGCGUGUGUGAAGAAGGUCUUCGGAUUGUAAAGCGCUUUUAGUUGGGAAGAAGGGCAGUAAGUUAAUACCUUGCUGUUUUGACGUUACCAACAGAAUAAGCACCGGCUAACUUCGUG
rnacentral:rRNA from 1 species